AGUUCCAUUUGAAUAGUAGCUUUUGCAUAUUUUUGCUGCCGUAUCGCCAUAGAAGUGAUUCACUGUUAUUUAUUCUCGUUCUCAUCUAUUCUUAGAAGUCAUUUGCAGUCCAGCCUCAUAGCAUGCCUGUAAAUGAGAUUCCGAAAGGAAGGUUGUGAAGAAAGUAUGGAUUUCAAGUUUGCUGGUUUUUUUCCCUUAUCCAGUGCGGGGACACAAUUUCAGUGGUUGUACUUAGUGAGGGAAUACAAAGUGAGAGGCACGGGGACCAUUAAGAUGUGCUUUAGUGGCGCAGAAAACUUUUGUUUUCAUCAUUUGGCAGGAGUAAUAAUGUAAAGUUUGGAAAGCAAAAGGGGAAGAUGCAAAUGGAGCGUAAAGCAAUUUAUGCUCAAGUGUUCGUGUAGAUAUUCUGCAAAAUACGACUUUCGAGUUGGAAAGUGAUUUACAUAUGUGGAAGCAAAAUCACAGUCAAAAAGGUCCAAAUCUUAAAAUUUGUGUAUGCUUUUCAAUCUUGAAGAUAGUGUGACUUUGAACUUGGCAUGUAUUAUCUAUAUUGCAUACCAUUUUUAUAGUAUUCGAUAUCUUAAGAUUUGACUAAUCUUGGCUUAUCUUCUUCAGUUGGCGCUAACUUUAGUGCUUUAUAAGGUUAUCAGUAGAAAUUAGGUAUUCUCUGGCUGUAGGUAAUAUGUGAACAUCUCAUCUUUGAUUGUUGUCGUUGAGUCAUGCUCCCAUUUUGCAUUCGUUUCAACUCUCAGAUAGUUUGACUUCUGAUGCUAGUAUCCUGAAACAGAUAGAUUACUUGAAUACAUGUUUCCUUUAUUACUUGGAUGUCUAAAUUACCAGGAAAUGAAUCAUUAGAUGUAUGGAUUCUGCAUUGUGACCAUUGUAACGAGUGGUCUACCUUUAGAUGGCUCUCUUAUUUUUUCGAGUUUGGCUAGGUUACUCUGUGUCACCGUCUUGGUUGCUGUUAUUGUUCUUCUGUGGACAUUUAUUUGGGUUCGAAAAUCAUCUAUUGCUGCAGCUUUUAGUUUUGUGUUUGAAGGGUAAGAGUUGUUUGAUCACAUGCAGAAUGAAUAAGUUUUGAGGGAAAGAAUCGGUUGAUCACAUGCACAAUGAAUGAGUUCUAUUGAUAGGAUGAACAAGAAUGAGAUUCCUAGUUUUCCUAUGAAAGAUAUCUUAUGCAGAUGAAUACUAAGGCUACAAUGGCCUACACAGGAUUUUGCAGCUAAAUAACCUUCUAUAAGGAAAGAGAACCAGAAAAAGAUUAGGAAAUUAUUCAGCAAAGAGUUGUUGUUUGUAAUUAGUCAGAUUAUUGUUGAAGUUGACUAAACUUUUAAAAGAUAUAUAAAAAGUUAAUUGAGAA
rnacentral:lncRNA from 1 species